GACGAACCGAGCGAACGUUAUUCGGAAUCACUGGGCUUAAAGGGCGCGUAGGCGGGCCGUCAAGUCAGGGGUGAAAGCCCCCAGCUCAACUGGGGAAGUGCCUUUGAUACUGACGGCCUCGAGGGAGAUAGGGGCGUGCGGAACUUCCGGUGGAGCGGUGAAAUGCGUAGAUAUCGGAAGGAACACCGGUGGCGAAAGCGGCGCGCUGGAUCUCUUCUGACGCUGAGACGCGAAAGCGUGGGGAGCAAACAGG
rnacentral:rRNA from 1 species